rnacentral:rRNA from 1 species
UACGUAGGGGGCAAGCGUUGUCCGGAAUCAUUGGGCGUAAAGCGCGUGUAGGCGGCUCGGUAAGUCUGCUCUGAAAGUCCAAGGCUCAACCUUGGGAUGCGGGUGGAUACUGCCGGGCUCGAGUCCGGAAGAGGCGAGUGGAAUUCCUGGUGUAGCGGUGAAAUGCGCAGAGUAUCAGGAGGAACACCAAUGGCGAAGGCAGCUCGCUGGGACGUGACUGACGCUGAGACGCGAAAGCGUGGGGAGCAAACAGG